UUGGGAGCAAUCCCAAGGGAGUGGCGGACGGGUGAGUAACACGUGGGUACCUACCCUGUGGUGAGGAAUACCGGCGAGAAAUCGCCGACAAUACCGCAUUCGUUUCAUCAGAAACAAAGCUCGGUAACGAGCGCCAUGGGAAGGGCCUGCGGCCGAUUAGCUCGUUGGUGGGGUAAAAGCCUACCAAGGCAACGAUCGGUAGCUGGUCUGAGAGGACGAUCAGCCACACUGGGAUUGAGAACGGCCCAGACUCCUACGGGGGGCAGCAGUGAGGAAUUUUCGUCAAUGGGGGCAACCCUGAACGAGCAACGCCGCGUGCAGGAUGAAGGUUUUCGGA
rnacentral:rRNA from 1 species